AGAGUUUGAUCCUGGCUCAGGACGAACGCUGGCGGCGUGCUUAACACAUGCAAGUCGAACGGAGCACCCCUGAUUGAGGUUUCGGCCAAAUGAUGGGAAUGCUUAGUGGCGGACUGGUGAGUAACGCGUGAGGAACCUGCCUUUCAGAGGGGGACAACAGUUGGAAACGACUGCUAAUACCGCAUGACGUGUGAUGGGGGCAUCCCUGACACACCAAAGAUUUUAUCGCUGAAAGAUGGCCUCGCGUCUGAUUAGCUAGUUGGUGAGGUAACGGCCCACCAAGGCGACGAUCAGUAGCCGGACUGAGAGGUUGGCCGGCCACAUUGGGACUGAGAUACGGCCCAG
rnacentral:rRNA from 1 species